ensembl:lncRNA
CAGUAUUUAAAGGGGAGAUCCAUCAGCCAAAGGAUGAUGAACCCCACAGGGUGGUAAGGGCUCCAGUGCAGAGAAACCAAAACUUGUUGGAGCUGGAGAACAGGGCCCCUGACCAGCCUGGUGUGAAGACCAGGAAUGUCUGAGAUAGCCAUAGAAGACGUGAUAUUGGGUGAUGCCUUGAAGAACUAAUCAGGGGGACUUCAAAAUGUGUUCCUUUCAAAUCUUGUGCUGCUCUGGAUUUGAGAGUGAAGUGAGGAGUUGACCCCAAGAUCACAGGGGCUUCCCAUUUUCACGGGUCCCCCUCAUCACCAGCAUGACAUCUGUGCAGCAGCUUUGCCUGGAGGCUCCUUUUGGCUCUGGUGACUUCUUGGACUUUCCUGAUUUUUGAUGACCUCAACAGUUUCAAGGAAUACAGGUGAGAUGUUUUGAACACUAUUCCUCAAUUAGGGUUUGCCUGAUGUGAUUCUUAUGGUUGCACUGUGGUUGUGAGUGUUGGGGAGGAGACCCUUAGAGGGGAUGUGCCAUCCUUAUCGCAUCAUAUCAAGGGUACAUACUAUCAGCAUCAUAGUUGAUCUUGAUAUCACCUGGUUGAGGUCAUGUUGUCAGAUUUCUCCACUGUCCAGUUACUUUCCCUCUGCCUUUCUGUGCUAUACAUCUUGGAAGGAAGUCACUUUGUGCAGCCCAUGUUUGAAAGGGGAAUUAUGCUCCAUCUCCUUGAAAGCUGUGUAUCUAUAUACAUUAUUUGGAAUUAUUUGGUUUGUCUCUUCUUUCCCAAUUUUUAAAAAUCCAUUCAGUCAUUUAUUUAUAUCACUAAGGACUUGUGGAUCUUCACGACCCAGAUAAUCAUGAUGGUGUGAUGACUAAUCUAAAGCCAGACAUCUUGGAAUGUGAAGUCAAGUGGGCCUUGGAAAGCAUCGCUAUGAACAAAGCUAGUGGAGGUGAUGGAAUUCCAGUUGAGCUAUUUCAAAUCCUGAAAGAUGAUGCUGUGAAAGUGCUGCACUCAAUAUGCCAGCGGAAAACUCAGCAGUGGCC